CUAUAGUAAUAUCUCUUCACUACAAUUCAUACAACAAACAUACACAUUAAAUUUUCUAAUUAAAUCCAUCAGCAUGAAUACCAAACUCAUUCUAGCCCUCAUGUUUUGCUUCCUCCUCAUUGCAUCCAAUGAGAUGCAAGUUGGAGAGGCAAAAGUAUGUCAAAGGCGGAGCAAGACAUGGUCAGGGCCAUGUAUUAACACAGGUAAUUGUAGCCGUCAAUGCAAGCAACAAGAGGAUGCUCGUUUUGGAGCUUGUCACAGAAGUGGCUUUGGAUUUGCUUGCUUUUGCUAUUUCAAAUGCUAAAUCAUUUCUAUAGAAGAGUGUUUUACUAUCAAAUAUGUAACAAUGUUGUGUUCUAUUGUUUGAAUAAAGACGUCCAAUUUACUAAAAUCGGAUGUACCCCUAGUAAUGUUUGUGUGUCCAAUUUAUCGUAUUGUAACGUAUCGCAAUGUAUGUGUUGUAUUGUUAUGAUGAAUAUAAUGUUUGAAUAGAUUGUACUGUU